rnacentral:rRNA from 1 species
ACUCUGCAACUCGAGUGCAUGAAGUUGGAAUCGCUAGUAAUCGCGGAUCAGCAUGCCGCGGUGAAUACGUUCCCGGGCCUUGUACACACCGCCCGUCACACCAUGGGAGUUGGUUUUACCCGAAGGCGCUGUGCUAACCGCAAGGAGGCAGGCGACCACGGUAGGGUCAGCGACUGGGGUGAAGUCGUAACAAGGUAGCCGUAGGGGAACCUGCGGCUGGAUCACCUCCUUUCUAAGG